GGCCCGUUGGUCAAGAGGCCUAAGACACCGCCCUUUCACGGCGGUAACACGAGUUCGAAUCUCGUACGGGUCACCA
rnacentral:tRNA from 2 species